GUCGAGAAUCUUCCGCAAUGCGCGAAAGCGUGACGGAGCGAUGCCGCGUGCCGGAUGAAGGUCUUCGGAUCGUAAACGGCUGUCACCCGGGACGAAUAAAUGACGGUACCGGGGAAGGAAGCCACGGCUAACUACGUGCCAGCAGCCGCGGUAAUACGUAGGUGGCGAGCGUUGUUCGGAUUUAUUGGGCGUAAAGGGUCCGUAGGAGGUUGGUUAAAUUUGGGGUGAAAUCCCGGAGCUCAACUCCGGAACUGCCUUGAAGACUGAUCAACUAGAGUACUGGAGAGGUAAGCGGAAUUCCAGGUGUAGCGGUGGAAUGCUUAGAUAUCUGGAAGAACACCGAAAGCGAAGGCAGCUUACUGGCCGGUCACUGACUCUCAUGGACGAAAGCGUGGGGAGCAAACAGGAUUAGAAACCCUGGUAGUCC
rnacentral:rRNA from 1 species